AACGAACGCUGGCGGCAGGCCUAACACAUGCAAGUCGAACGCCGUAGCGAUACGGAGUGGCAGACGGGUGAGUAACGCGUGGGAACAUACCCCUCGGUUCGGAAUAACUCAGGGAAACUUGAGCUAAUACCGGAUAAGUCCGAGGUUUUAAUCGACCUUGGAGAAAGAUUUAUCGCCGGAGGAUUGGCCCGCGUCUGGUUAGCUUGUUGGUGAGGUAAUGGCUCACCAAGGCGACGAUCAGAGCUGGUCUGAGAGGAUGAUCAGCCACAUUGGGACUGAGACACGGCCCAAACUCCUACGGGAGGCAGCAGUGGGGAAUAUUGGACAAUGGGCGAAAGCCUGAUCCAGCCAUGCCGCGUGAGUGAUGAAGGCCUUAGGGUUGUAAAGCUCUUUUACCCGGGAAGAUAAUGACGGUACCGGGAGAAUAAGCCCCGGCUAACUUCGUGCC
rnacentral:rRNA from 1 species